UUUUGUGGUUUCAGGUUUCAUCCGCCUGGUAGUCACGUUAUAGUAAGGUUACAGAAAAACAUUAAAAAUAUUAGAAAAGCUAGGAAAUAGCAAUAUGUACCUAAACAUUUAUUGUUUUAUGCUGGUGCUAGUACCAUUCAGCAUCACUGAAAAAGUUAUUAAUGCUAAAUUGUAUAUGCAGUGUUUUCAAUCGGUACCGCCCUAAUAACGGGAUUCAACCAAGGCACAGAUCAAGGGGUGUCUCAAUUGGGUAAGAAAUGUUUAUGUACUGCCAAAAUAUCAUUUUCCUGCCAAGCGACUGCGAAGAAGACUGCCUAUGUCUACCAUACAAUUUAUAGUCAACUGCUGUAAGACUGAUACCAACGAUUGCCAUGAAAGUGUCCAUAUAAUUCCAACAGUGAGACGCCCCUCGGAUUCAACAUACUCAAUGGGGUGUUGUGUGAGACAACUGUGAUCAACUUGAGGAAAUACCUUUCAUCAGUAUAGUAUUGAAUUCAAAUUUCGAUAUUAUGGAAUAAUAUACAUGGAAGUUCUGCUGAAGUGAUUUUCUAUUACCUUUUGUAUUUGGAAGAAUUGUUGCUGAAAUUGAAUCAUUUUCGAAUGUGCUGCAUUUGAUUUGUCAUUGUAUAAAUGUCUUUGUUACCUGGAUUCAAAUUACCACCUCUAUA